rnacentral:ncRNA from 1 species
GUAUCCUUAACCCGCACCUGCAAAAUCAGGUGCCGGGAUUGGUCUCCCGAAUA